ensembl:lncRNA
CAAAAACAUUUGCAAGAAUCAGACUUCAGUAAUAGCAGAUCAAGCCAGCCCAUGUACAGCCUAUGACAGAGCUCUGCUGUGGAACUGAUGCCAUCUCUUCUCUCAAACUCAUCCUGGCUAUUUCUUGAACACUUUACACUGCGAGAAAAUAAAACAGUACUCAGGAAAAAUAAGUUUCUCUCAGUUUAGAGAAAAGAACCACAGCGCUCAACAGGAAGUGAGAUGAGCACCAGUACCAGCUGAAAGGAAACAAGGAGACAGUCUUUUGGCAGUGACAAGGGGUCCCUUGCGAAUCUCUCCUUAAGGGUAAAAUGGCCCAGGAAGCGUGGACUCUCAUCAAGAUGGAAAUCUUAAAGCCACAAGAACAGGCUGUUCCUGAAUGGCAUAAUGCAAGCCAUAGGGGAAGAAGAUUGGUGUGGAUGAACAGGGAGCUACUGCUGAGACUCUGGAAGAAAAAGAGAGUCCAUGUCCUCUGGAAGAAUGGACAGGAUACUUGGGAAGAUUACAGGGAAGUUGCUAAGGUAUGCAGG